CCGUAGCUCAAUUGGAUAGAGCAUCUGACUACGGAUCAGAAGGUUGUAAGUUCGAAUCCUGCCGGG
rnacentral:tRNA from 2 species